AGUGAACGCUGGCGGUAGGCCUAACACAUGCAAGUCGAACGGCAGCACAGGAGAGCUUGCUCUCUGGGUGGCGAGUGGCGGACGGGUGAGGAAUACAUCGGAAUCUACUUUUGCGUGGGGGAUAACGUAGGGAAACUUACGCUAAUACCGCAUACGACCUACGGGUGAAAGCAGGGGAUCUUCGGACCUUGCGCGAUUGAAUGAGCCGAUGUCGGAUUAGCUAGGUGGCGGGGUAAAGGCCCACCAAGGCGACGAUCCGUAGCUGGUCUGAGAGGAUGAGCAGCCACAAUGGAGCUGAGACACGGUCCAGACUCCUACGGGAGGCAGCAGUGGGGAAUAUUGGACAAUGGGCGCAAGCCUGAUCCAGCCAUACCGCGUGGGUGAAGAAGGCCUUCGGGUUGUAAAGCCCUUUUGUUGGGAAAGAAAUCCAGCUGGUUAAUACCCGGUUGGGAUGACGGUACCCAAAGAAUAAGCACCGGCUAACUUCGUGCCAGCCGCCGCCGUAA
rnacentral:rRNA from 1 species